rfam:Malassezia sympodialis ATCC 42132 genomic scaffold, msy_sf_11
GGCAAGGUGCCGGAGUGGUUAACGGGUUCGCCUCGAAUCUUUAGUUCGACGCCGAGUACGGCGGUAAGCGAAUGGGCUCUGCCCGCACAGGUUCGAGUCCUGUUCUUGUCG